rnacentral:SRP_RNA from 1 species
UCGUGACGCGCAAGGUGAAGGAACUGCAGCAGGCGGGCUUCACGGAGCAGCGCA